AAAUUGAAGAGUUUGAUCAUGGCUCAGAUUGAACGCUGGCGGCAGGCCUAACACAUGCAAGUCGAACGGUAACAGGAAACAGCUUGCUGUUUCGCUGACGAGUGGCGGACGGGUGAGUAAUGUCUG
rnacentral:rRNA from 2 species